rnacentral:rRNA from 1 species
UGGGGAAUUUUCCGCAAUGGGCGACAGCCUGACGGAGCAAUACCGCGUGAGGGAGGAAGGCCUUAGGGUCGUAAAGCUCUGUUGUUGGGGACGAAGGGCGAAGGGUUAAUAGCCCCUAGACUGACGGUACCCUUCGCGGAAGCCCCGGCUAACUACGUGCCAGCAGCCGCGGUAAUACGAAGGGGGCGAGCGUUGUCCGGAAUUAUUGCGCGUAAAGAGCGUGUAGGCGGCCUGGUAAGUCUGCCGUGAAAACCUGGGGCUCAACCCUGGGCGUGCGGUGGAUACUGCUAGGCUAGAGGAUGGUAGAGGCGAGUGGAAUUCCCGGUGUAGCGGUGAAAUGCGCAGAUAUCGGGAGGAACACCAGUAGCGAAGGCGGCUCGCUGCGCCAUUCCUGACGCUGAGACGCGAAAGCGUGGGGAGCAAACAGGAUUAGAUACCCCUGUAGUCC